UCGGUAAGCUCAGAGGAGACAAUUGUCUGGAUUCAGAAAUAAACGAUGAAAGCUUCAAGCUUUGAAGCCUCCCCCAACACCUUCCAGCACUGUUUUUCCUCCACUGAAGGAAGAGCAGCAGGCACCUCAUGCGUGCUUCCUUUCUCCUCCUGCCACCACUCCAUGUGGCCCCUUCCAGCUGCUAAGGAUGCAUCUUCAAACCUCUGUUUGCCAAGUUGGAGGGGACUGGCUUCUGUCUGGACUCACAGCUUCAAAUAGUGAGACAAUCUCAGGAUGCAGCCAAAUAUUUUUUUUUAAUCAAAUAUUGCAUCUAAAAAGAUAUGGCUAAGUAACAAGAGCCUUCAGAUGGUGUCUCUACCAUUUUUUUUCUUUUUCCAAAAACCAAAUAUGAAUUCAAGAAACUGUUGUUGGCAUUUAGCUGGUGGAGAGAUAAUGGUGGUUUUCCCCGAGCACACGGUCAUUCUUUGAAAGCCAGCCAGAUGAGCAGAUAUGCUAGGAUCAAGUGACUGGAGUUCUAGAAAUCAUAUUAUAAACAUGGGAUGAAGAUUCAUCCUAGGGAUUGUGGAAUGGCAAGCUGCAAAGACCUUGGAUCUCCAAAAAGCUCAUGGCCCCGCCACAUCAGCCCUACACUGCCCACUUCUGGACAUCCUACUAGAUGAGAGGAAAAGAAAGUUCUGUGCUGCUUAAAUCCAUUUUCAGAUCAGCCAUUUCCUGACUAAUACACACAGCGUGCCCUUGUCAAAGAGCAAGAAAACAUUUCUCAGAAGUCUCCUGUGUCUCGUUGGUCAGAAUUGGGUGUAAUGCCCAUUCCUGAAUCAAAAUCUGGCAACAAGAAUGUGAUUGCCUGCAGUCCAGUCAGACCCACCCAAUGAGGCUGGGGACGGGCCCCAGGGCAGAAGGGAAGCCCAGCUCCCCUGGAGCCAUCAGUCACCCCACAAUGGCUGUGGCAGCCCUGUCCAGCCCAGCCGAGUCUCAGAACGCCACUGGGGGCAGCUGUAGGGGGAGAAUGUCUUUGGUGGAUGGCCUAAAAGCUAAGACUGGAACAGAGCCGAGAUGCCAGUGUGACCACAACCAGAGGGAACAGACAGCUCGACUACCCACGGAGACA